rnacentral:rRNA from 1 species
CACAUGAGCGGCAAGCAUUAUCCGCAAUUAUUGGGCGUAUAGGAUACGUAGGUGUAUUACGUAGUCUAGAUUUACUAAAAAAGUAUAUUUAGUAUUCAUAGAAACCGUAAUAUUGAGUUAAAAAGAAGUUUACGUUACUCACAAAGGAGCGAUAAAAUGCAACUAUUUUAGGGAGGACACCAAAUGCGAAGGCAGUUUGCUAUUUUUAACUGACACUGAGGUAUGAAAGUGCAGGUAUCAAGUAGGAUUAGAGACCCUAUUAGUCUGCACCCUAAACUAUGAGUAUUAAAUCUUUUUUUAAAAAGGAUUUUAGCUAACGCGAAAAUACUCCGCCUGGGAAGUACGACAGCAAUGUUGAAACUUAACAGAAUUGGCGGGAAUUUAAUUUAACGGUGGAACAUGUGGUUUAAUUCGAUAAUCCGCGAAAAACCUUACCGGUAUCGUUAUAAAUCUAAUAUUUUUUUUUAAAAAUUUAGACAUAUACACAGUGUUGCAUGGCUGUCGUCAGUUCGUGUUGUGAGAUGUAAAAUUAACUUUUUUAACGGACGCAACCCCAGGUAUUUGUUUUAUUUAAUCGGCAUUUAAAUAUAAUUAUAUUUAUGCAAUUAAAUUACUAAUGCAUGUUGAAUAUAGAGUAUUCGAUCGGGUCGGGCUGAAGUCAAGUCCUUAUGGCCUUCAUAUACCGGGCUACACACGUGUUACAAUGGUAGAAACAAUGUGUUACGAUAAUUAAAUUUGGAGUAAAUCACGAAAAUCUACCUCAGUUCGAAUUGUUUUCUGAAAGUCGAAAACAUGAAGGUGAAAUCGUUAGUAAUCGUAAAUUAGUAUGUUACGGUGAAUUAAAAAUUAAAUUUUGCACACACCGCCCAUCACGCUCGAAAAGUUGGGAGGACAGAAAAUAUUACUUACAAAUAUACGAAUAUAUUCGUAUACUAAUUACGUGUUUUGCGUGAAGUGAUAUUGAAUCUCUUGUUAGCAAUUUGAGUGAAGUUG